rnacentral:rRNA from 1 species
AGUGAACGCUGGCGGUAUGCCUAACACAUGCAAGUCGAACGGCAGCACAGUAAGCGCUUGCUCUUACGGGUGGCGAGUGGCGGACGGGUGAGGAAUACAUCGGAAUCUACUUUUUCUUGGGUGGUAACGUAGGGAAACUUACGCUAAUACCUCAUACGACCUACCGGUUAAAUCAGGGGAUCUUCGGACCUUUCGCGAUUGAAUGAGCCGAUGUCGGAGUAGCUAGUUGGCGGGGUAAAGGACCACCAAGGCGACGAUCCGUAGCUGGUCUGAGAGGAUGAGCAGCAACACAGGAAAGGAGACACGGAGAAGACUACUACGGGAGGCAGCAGUGGGGAAUAUGGGACAAGGGGAGCAAGCAUGAUGCAGCCAUACCGCGGGGGUGAAGAAGGCCGGAGGGUUGUAAAGCCCUUUUGUUGGGAAAGAAAAGCAGCAGGUUAAUAGCCCGCUGUUCUGACGGUACACAAAGAAUGAGCACCGGCUAACUUC